ensembl:lncRNA
CAUCAUUUACUCAUCCUCUUGCCGUUCCAAACCUGAAUGACUUUCUUUCUUCUGUUCUGUGGAACACAAAAUGGAUAUUUUGAAUAAUGUACUAGUCACUGUUUUUACGGAUAAGAUGGAUAAGAACUGAUCAAAGGAAACUAAAGGCCUACUUUGCAGUGCUGAUAAGCUCUCUUUAAGCACAAGAACUAUGUUCAUUUUUGCUGUUUAGAAAGGAGAACAUCUGUUUUAGUUAGUUAAUGUUUUCGGACCACAGAGGAUGUGGUAACGGUUUCAGACACUGUUAUUUAACCACCACAGAAUGUGGCAGGAAACGAUAGCGCUUCGCUGAUGGCAACAAAGAAAUUUUGAGUCAUGAGAGAUCCGAAGUCCAUACACAAGAUCUUCUGGAUCAUGGAAUUUCUGCCUUUCGCUUAAAAUAUAUUUAUGUGUUCUGUUAUAAGGGAGAAAACAAACUUUGCAGGGUCUUCAUGCUCAGUUAUGUGGUACCUGUCCAUAGUAUUUACCUUCACAGUAUAUGGAACCCAUGGUUGUGUGAUAACCAGUCCAGACCAGAAGGCUAAUGCUGGGACAGAUGUCCAUUUGUCGUGUAAUUUCUGGCAAUGUCCUGGACCUCUGGACAUCAUGUCUCUUAGUGUGGAGUGGGAAUUCAAGGAUAUCUCCUCUGAGCCAAAAAUAAUCCUCUACUACAUCAGAAAUCGAACUGUACCACUUCCUGGUGUGUUUUUUCAGGGAGAUGUCGAAUUAGGGAGUUUUGAUAUACAUCUCCCGUCUGUGACCCAUGAGAACAGUGGAACUUAUUUAUGUAGAUUACGUCUCAAUGGCAUUUUUCACAAGAACCAAACACACCUUAUUGUGCAAUCAGCACUGACCAGGAGAAACAAUCCAGGUGUAAAUCAUCUGCAGAAACGUCCUCCCUGGUUGCUGCCCCUGGCCUCAGUGGCAUCAGUGGCUGGGUUUGUGUUACUAAUUGGUACAGUUUUUUGGGGGAGGAAAGCUUACACGUCAACCCAGAGAGAAAACAACUCAAAGCAAAAUAUGGAAGAGGCUAAAACCAGCACUGAUGCUGAAGACAAGGGAAUUAUAUAUAAGGUGGGAUUCAGCAUGCCUGACCUCGCAGACGUGAACAGUCCACCUAGCAGUCCAGAUAACAUCUAUGUUACCAUGCAUGGUUUGCCAUUCGCACCAGAUGUUCCUGCCACAGCUGGACGCAACAGACGUCUUCCCUCUGAUUGGCAGCUGAAGGAUGAGGAACCCGUAUUUGUCCGCUGAUACCAAGAUUUAUUAGUCAGAUCAUGCCACUUGAAAGAUGAGACACAGAAUAAGUGAUUAUUUAAAUUAGUGAGAGUAAGUAUUGUCAGAUAUGCAUUAUAUAGUCCCAAAACAGACUGUUUUGUGUAUUAUUUUUCAAUACUCACCAGCUGUACAUCACUGUACAUUAUCCCUCAUAAUAAAUCUGUUAUUUCCUCAUGCACCUCUUUCAUCAUCUACCAGAUGUCAACAGUGGUCAAUAUAGUUUAGUUACUGCACUUCUUGUGAGCUUCAGCCCUCGACUUUUUCCUAUCUUCUCAAUGACUUCUCAUCAGCAUGAAAUUGCCAAUUCUUCUAACUGUCUCUCUGUCUCUGAAGAGGCAAACAAAAUUGCCCUGCAGUGGAGAAGUGGUUUUAGCAUUACACACUUAAUUAUUCAUGCCAACUGUCCUUUGAGAUUUAAGGAAUCACAGAUCACGAGUUUUGUAAAUCACAAUAAACUAGUUGCUAACCAUUACUGGCAUCAAGGCACACCCUCAAUGAAUGUGCUCUCAUUUCACUAAUCAGAUAAAUAGGCUACACUGCCUACUGUAUAUGGCUAUGUAUAUCUUUAAUAAUCAUCAUCGUAUUUUUCGGCACCAUUCUCAUCCCUUGUGUGCAUUUCCACCUCCUGCUCAUCUCUAGUGCACUUUGAUCUCCAUUAGUGAGGAGAUGAGGAGAGGUUGUCCAACUGCAAGCUAGAGCCUUAUUAUUUGGUUUUGCGUCAACGGCCGUUUGGAUUUUCUUAGGCUGAUUUCUGAUUUUUCUCAAAUUAUGUGACACGUGUAAUAUAAAGAUGCAUUCAGAUUUUUUUUUUUUUUUAAAUCAUGUAAAACUGAUUCAUAUCAUAUUUUAUUUGCUGCUAUUAUAGUAUAUUGUAACAUGGUUCAACUGAACCCGACAAACAACAAUCCACAACCAUACUAUCAACCAGUUUUCCUUCUACAGACACUGCCAGCCAUAUCAUAGCACAAAAUAAAAACAUUUUACGUGUUUUUUUUAGUAUAAUUGAAACGAAAAAAAUAGAUCUCAAAAGCUUUUCUGUUUUUAUUGUCCGCUACGUUUAUUGUCAUCGACCAAAAUGCCUAUUUUAUUGCAUUUUGGGAAAACGCAGUGGGCGUCUUCUUUGAAAUUAUCCUGCGUUGCAUUGAUGGUAUUUCUGGCCUGUCCAGUGAAUUCCAUGGAUGUGCUGGUGCCACCACAGAUCCUCACUCUCAAUGGGACUGAUGUCAGAAUCCCCUGUGCAUUCACUUCAUGCUACAAACUGGACCCCAGCAAGUUUGCCAUGAACUGGACCUAUCAGGAGACAAGCAACAGUACAGAAGAAAUUUUCAUGACCUAUAAGAACAAGAUAACACCCUUGAAGUCGACCCGAUUUGGAGAUCGAGUCAUAUUUUCUGGAAACCUGGAUAAGAACGACCUGAGCAUCACUAUCUCAAAUGUGCAGUUGACAGACGAGGGCAUCUACAACUGCUAUGUGCGCAACCCUCCAGACCGCAUUCGGGGCCACGGCAUCAUUCAGGUCUUCGUCCCGACUGAAUUGCCGCCACCAAGAGAUUCGACCAUUGCUGUUGCCAUUGGGGCAUCUGUGGGGGGAAUUCUAGCUUUGCUCAUUCUGUCCAUGGUAGUGGUGAAGUGUAUUCGCAGACAUAAGAACCAGGAGCUGAUCUCAGAUGAGCAGAAGAUGGAGGAAGAGGGCAAAGCAGAUGGAGAAGGAGGCACAGAAGAAGCAACAAAAAAUUUAAGCCUCCUGCCUGAAGAUAUCUAAGACCUUGUUUGACUCUUCAUCCUAUAACGGUCUCAUUCAACAUUCCUCGGUUUUCUCAUGUAGCAGUAGCAUGUCAUAAAGGAAGAUCUCCACCACAGUGCCAUGGUGUCCAGUUACCAGUGAGAAAUCACAAAGGGUUUCAAACUGCCUCUUCCACUCAAUACAACAGGUUAAGGUGAUAACUUCCUGCAGAACUCUUCGUUUAGACCACCCUUUUUUCAAAGUCAAGUAAUGUAUUUUUUUUUCUUCUGCCACUAUUAGCACUAUUAAUAUCAGCCAUCCAGUAUUUCUGCUGAGAAUUUUCUAAAGAGAUGAAUUUUAAAUUAUACAAGGUCCUCUUACAACUGCCAAAGUGUUUUUACCCUUAUGGUGUUUAUACAUUUUAAGAGUUUCUUGAGAAAUCACUGCCCUCAACAACCUCUCAAGUGGAUGUAGAAACAUAACGUGUGUUUGUGUGUGCCUUCUCAUUGUGCCAGUUUGCUUCUGCUGGGUCUAGAAGUUUAUGUUCUUUUUACAGCAGACUAUUAGGCAGGACCAUGACUAUACAUCAGUGUUCAAAAUCUAUAAUUCGUUAGUGUACAGCACAUUGUACACCUCCAAAACAUGUACAAUCAAUGCAUGACAAUUUUCUUAUGCAUGAUACACAAUUUGCACAAAACAAAUCAUCAGUUUGCACAAGCAUCUGGCAUGUUCCACAAAUAGGGUAUAUUUUGCUGUUCCAUGACAUUUUUUUUAAAGUCUUAGAGGCAUUAAUCCUAUGUUGUGUUUUUGGACCUAUUAGAUAUUGCAUAUUUGUUAUCUAACAUGAAACUAAUUUAGCAUGAAAAGUGUUUUUUUUUUUUUGUGUUGGUUUGUUAAUUGGUAAUUUGGACUUCCACCUAAGAGGACUUGGUCUUCAUGACUAUCUAACAAUUAAAAUCACAGAAAAGCAUCAUAAUUUUAAAAGAUGAAAAGUAAAAGUGAGUGAAUUCUUAAUUUCUAAUUAAAUAAUUAAAUUAAAAUGCAUUUUGAGGCCCCAAAAAUAAGCUAGUUUGAAUGUUAAUAAUCUCUAUUUUCCCAAUUCUGAAUAGACAAAAGAUCAAACAAAUAUCAUACUGAGUGGCAGCUUAAUUUAUGCCAAAUUUGUUCCAAUUUGCAAAAAAAAAAAAAAAAAAAAGGAAUUUCAGCUAUUUUACACCCUAUUUAUGGAAAAUGCCAUUUCCAAAACAUUGCUUUCACACAUAAACAUCAUUUCAGGUGCAAUGAUUCGUUAAACAUGAUCUAUUUAUAGAUAAAAGCGAAACAACCUAUACACAAAUUUGAUUGCUAAUAUUAUAGAUUGUGUUUGACAUGUAUGUUGUGGUGUGUUAUUGAGAAUGUGUGAAUUUAUUUUACAUGAGUAUCUUAUUGAACGUAUAAGCUGUGAAAAUAAUUUUGUCAAUACUGAAUUUAUUAACCUCAUAAUCAAAUUUCACACAUAAUCAUAUAAUCUGUUCUGAAAGGCUAAAAUGGUUUUAAAUUGAGUAACAAGCAAAUGAAAGAUAACGGAUUAAUGCGCAUUUAAUGGAAAGAUUAAAAAAAUAAUCAAUUAUGCAUGACAUCAUAUCAUAUUUGUAUGCAUACAGAGGAAAUACAAAACUUUUUUUUUUUUUUUCAUGUGAUGGGAAUCCAUUUUGAUAGUGAAACACAGUGAUUGUGAACUUUCAGUGGACUCGUGGUAAUAGACUGCAGACUGUGUAGUAGAUUAUGUAGGGAAUGGGGCAGGUCCCCUACAUACCUUCUGCUAAAUCAAACAAUUUCAACAAUUUUCAGAAUAGCCUCAGUAUUAUUACAGCAUAUUUUGUGCUAUGGUCAGGAAAUGUGAGUAUUAAAUAGUUCUAUUUGAUUAAAAAAUAAAUAUAUCAAAAUAUAUAUAAUAUGUUUGUAUAUUGUAAUCUUCUAUGAUGUCGAAAAGUAGCAGUAUAUGUCUAAUUUAAAUAUUCUGUAUAUUUAAAUUGAAAAAAAAGACAGUAUCAUAGAGAUGUAUGCUCAUUUACAAAUGGUUUUGUUCUACAAAAUGUUCUGAUAUAAAACCUCAUACAAGAUAGACAGUAUUUGUAUGCAGACCAUAGGAGUAAAGUAUUCCAGCACUUAAUUCACCAUGUAUGAUUACUUAGUGUGCAUGCUGUAACACUGCAUUCUUGCUGCACAGGCCCAAAGCCUGGAGCCACAGUGAUACAUAGGCCAGGGAGCCUCACCCUCUGCUGGGCAAAGCCGACACCCACACUGGCUUCUGUUUACUCACACUUUAACUCACUCAGUCCCCUUCUGACUGGCUUAUUUUAUUAAUUUUUUAACUGACAUAUGUGUUAUGUUACACUUCCACAUCCUAUUGUACUCCAAUACAUAUUUAAUAAAUCAAAUUAUAUUGCUUGUUGUUAUAUGAAAAUGUACUUUGAAGGAUUGCUGUGAUACCUCUAAAAUGUUGCUCCAUUUUGACCUCAAAUUCAUUGUAGGGAAUGUAUCUAUUAUUAUUGUUCAUUUGAAUGUUUAAUUCAGUAAUGCUUUAUUGUAUUAUGAACCAAAACUGAGAUUUGCAUAUUGUGUAAUCAUAACUGUUAACUGUUAUUGCUAUGUAUUCAAUGAUAAUCAUGUAUUCAAUGACACUCAGUUACACAUGUACAUUGUAUUUUUACCACCGUGUUUUGCAUUAGAUAUUUGCAUAAUGUGAGCGACAUCAGGCAUCCACAAGAUGUUAAAAAAGGCUCCUAAAGGAUAUAAUAAAACCAUUAAGCUCAUAAUUUGAUUUGCUGCACAGCAGUUAACAUUAAGCCAGCUUCUGAAAUCCAGACUGAGGCUUAAUGAUUUUAUGGCUAGCGCUUUAGUGGUUGCCAUUCAUAGGUUUAGUUGCCAGGAAACAUGACUCCAAAUCCCUGAUUAUCUAGCCUGAUAUUAUACUGAAGGUGAAUUGUAUCAUCACAUAUAUAAUGCAACCAUGAUUGUACUGCCUUGAUGUUUUGUUUCUGUUUUGCAUUUGCCUUCAAGAUUUCAUUUGUACAUCAAGAUCAUUCAAACAUAACAUUUAUGUGGGCAUAAAAAAAUAACAGCAGUCCAGCGAGGUUGGUUGGAAUGGUUUGGGGACCAGUUUUUGCUUUAUUUUUUUCAUCAUGCAUGCCUCUGUUUAGUGUCUCGCUGAAGGUCUGACUCUGGCCUACUUUAAAUACAUACUGUAUACUUGCACUGCACCAUAACUAAGAGCUGCAUCACUGAUUGUUUUUUUUUAGUUUUGGUUUUGUCUUUUCA